GGAUUAUAUUCAUGUUGGGUAUGUAUGAGUUUGAAAAUUCAUGAUUUAAACGUUUCUAUCAUUCAAUACUUUCCGGUUCAGUUGAUCA